rnacentral:rRNA from 1 species
CUACGGGUCGCAGCAGUGGGGAAUAUUGGGCAAUGGGCGAAAGCCUGACCCAGCAACGCCGCGUGAUUGAAGAAGGCUUUCGGGUUGUAAAAAUCUGUCCUUGGGGACGAAGAAGUGACGGUACCCAAGGAGGAAGCCCCGGCUAACUACGUGCCAGCAGCCGCGGUAAUACGUAGGGGGCGAGCGUUGUCCGGAAUUACUGGGCGUAAAGGGUGCGCAGGCGGCGCUUUAAGUCAGAUGUGAAAUAUCCAUGCUUAACGUGGAGGGUGCAUUUGAAACUGGAGCGCUUGAGUGCAGGAGAGGAAAGUGGAAUUCCUAGUGUAGCGGUGAAAUGCGUAGAUAUUAGGAGGAACACCAGUGGCGAAGGCGACUUUCUGGACUGUAACUGACGCUGAGGCACGAAAGCGUGGGGAGCAAACAGGAUUAGAUACCCCCGUAGUC